UAGGGAAUCUUCGGCAAUGGACGGAAGUCUGACCGAGCAACGCCGCGUGAGUGAAGAAGGUUUUCGGAUCGUAAAGCUCUGUUGUAAGAGAAGAACGAGUGUGAGAGUGGAAAGUUCACACUGUGACGGUAUCUUACCAGAAAGGGACGGCUAACUACGUGCCAGCAGCCGCGGUAAUACGUAGGUCCCGAGCGUUGUCCGGAUUUAUUGGGCGUAAAGCGAGCGCAGGCGGUUAGAUAAGUCUGAAGUUAAAGGCUGUGGCCUAACCAUAGUAGGCUUUGGAAACUGUUUAACUUGAGUGCAAGAGGGGAGAGUGGAAUUCCAUGUGUAGCGGUGAAAUGCGUAGAUAUAUGGAGGAACACCGGUGGCGAAAGCGGCUCUCUGGCUUGUAACUGACGCUGAGGCUCGAAAGCGUGGGGAGCAAACAGGAUUAGAUACCCUGGUAGUCCACGCUGUAAACGAUGAGUGCUAGGUGUUAGACCCUUUCCGGGGUUUAGUGCCGUAGCUAACGCAUUAAGCACUCCGCCUGGGGAGUACGACCGCAAGGUUG
rnacentral:rRNA from 1 species